rnacentral:rRNA from 1 species
GCAAGUCGAGCGAGAAAGCCCUUCGGGGUGAGUACAGCGGCGGACGGGUGAGUAACGCGUAGGAAUCUACCUAGUAGUGGGGGACAACUCGUGGAAACGCGAGCUAAUACCGCAUACGCCCUACGGGGGAAAGCGGGGGAUCUUCGGACCUCGUGCUAUUAGAUGAGCCUGCGUAAGAUUAGCUAGUUGGUGGGGUAAUGGCCUACCAAGGCGACGAUCUUUAGCUGGUCUGAGAGGAUGAUCAGCCACACCGGGACUGAGACACGGCCCGGACUCCUACGGGAGGCAGCAGUCGGGAAUAUUGCGCAAUGGGCGAAAGCCUGACGCAGCCAUGCCGCGUGUGUGAAGAAGGCCCUAGGGUUGUAAAGCACUUUCAAUUGGGAGGAAAAGCUAAUGGUUAAUAGCCAUUAGCCCUGACGUUACCUUUAGAAGAAGCACCGGCUAACUCCGUGCCAGCAGCCGCGGUAAUACGGAGGGUGCAAGCGUUAAUCGGAAUUACUGGGCGUAAAGCGCGCGUAGGCGGUUUUUUAAGUCGGAUGUGAAAGCCCCGGGCUCAACCUGGGAAUUGCAUCCGAUACUGGAUAACUAGAAUGCGGGAGAGGGAGGUAGGAUUCCAUGUGUAGCAGUGAAAUGUGUAGAUAUGUGGAGGAAUACCAGUGGCGAAGGCGGCCUCCUGGCUCGACAUUGACGCUGAGGUGCGAAAGCGUGGGGAG